AUACGUAGGUGACAAGCGUUAUCCGGAUUUACUGGGCGUAAAGGGCGUGUAGGCGGUCUUGCAAGUCAGAAGUGAAAUUCCUGAGCUCAACUCGGGCGCUGCUUCUGAAACUGCAGGACUUGAGUGCUGGAGGGGAUAGCGGAAUUCCUAGUGGAGCGGUAAAAUGCGCAGAUAUUAGGAGGAACACCGGUGGCGAAGGCGGCUUUCUGGACAGUAACUGACGCUGAGGCGCGAAAGCGUGGGGAGCAAACAGGAUUAGAUACCCUGGUAGUCCACGCCAUAAACGAUGAAUACUAGGUGUAGGGGGUAUCGACCCCCUCUGUGCCGACGUUAACACAUUAAGUAUUCCACCUGGGGAGUACGGCCGCAAGGCUGAAACUCAAAUGAAUUGACGGGG
rnacentral:rRNA from 1 species